rnacentral:rRNA from 1 species
CCUACGGGAGGCUGCAGUGAGGAAUAUUGGUCAAUGGACGCAAGUCUGAACCAGCCAUGCCGCGUGCAGGAUGUCGGCUCUAUGAGUUGUAAACUGCUUUUGUACGAGGGUAAACCCCGAUACGUGUAUCGGGUUGAAAGUAUCGUACGAAUAAGGAUCGGCUAACUCCGUGCCAGCAGCCGCGGUAAUACGGAGGAUCCGAGCGUUAUCCGGAUUUAUUGGGUUGAAAGGGUGCGUAGGCGGUGUGAUAAGUUAGAGGUGAAAUGUCGGGGCUCAACCCCGAAACUGCCUCUAAUACUGUUGGACUAGAGAAUAGUUGCGGUAGGCGGAAUGUAUGGUGUAGCGGUGAAAGGCUUAGAGAUCAUACAGAACACCGAUUGCGAAGGCAGCUUACCAAACUAUAUCUGACGUUGAGGCACGAAAGCGUGGGUAGCAAACAGGAUUAGAUACCCUUGUAGUC